CACGGACCGCACGAACGUUAUUCGGUAUCACUGGGCUUAAAGGGCGCGUAGGCGGCCUGGCAAGUGGAAGGUGAAAUCCCUCGGCUUAACCGAGGAACUGCCCUCCAAACUGCUUUGCUUGAGGCCGGGAGAGGUGAGUGGAAUUCCCAGUGUAGCGGUGAAAUGCGUAGAUAUUGGGAGGAACACCAGUGGCGAAGGCGGCUCACUGGACCGGUUCUGACGCUGAGGCGCGAAAGCGUGGGGAGCAAACGGG
rnacentral:rRNA from 1 species